AACAGAAAGAAUUACUUACUGGGGAACCGAGUUAAAAACGAAAGAAGUGAAGAUUGGUCAUCUCUGCAGAGGAAAUUACAAGGUCUUUCUCAGAAGAAACAGCUGCAUAAUGUGGAAUCAGUUGUGUGAAAUUCUGUUGGCAAGGCCUUUGACUUUCAACUUCUGCUGGAUCCAGCUGAGUGAUCAAAGAGAGAACUUUUGCAGAUCCCCACAUCAGUGAUGCUGAAAGCCAGGGCAGAUGGCUUCCAUCCCCCUGCAGUGUGACCAACUGCCCUCUGGGCAAGAUUUGCUGAGUGAAACAACUCUCCUUGAUCUGUGUGGGGCUGAUGGAUGCAGCAUUUAUUGCGUUCUUUAACUAGCAAAAGAGUUUUUUAUCUUCUAGAUUGUCACCAAGCAAUUCAGCUGUCUGGGAAUACAGCCUGUGCUUUCUGUGAUCAGAGUGUGACUGUCCUUUGGGGUGAGGUAGUAGGUUGUAUAGUUUUAGGGCUAUGCCCUGCCUGUCAGAUAACUAUACAAUCUACUGUCUUUCCUGAAGUGGCUGUGAUGUCAGCGCUGGAUGUCUCCAAAAGACUACGCAGAUAUUUUUCAACUGUAUCUGGGCUCUGUCUACAUGUUUGGUUCUUGUACACAAAUGUCCUUAGAGUGUUUAGAUUCCUGUAUUUCUCAUUCAGGCUCCAAAUCCAUUUCCUUCUGGCAUUUUUGGAGAGCAGGUGGGGUAUGAGUGCCAGGACACAGAGGUGCAACCCAGUCCACAGUGGAUUUGCUCACACACAGCUGUCUGGGACUGCCAUGGGAGUGGCCACUUGGAAAUAGCUGAUCCAUUUCUCCCUUGUUUUCUGCUGUUUGUAUUCAUAUUGAACAUAAAAAUGGUUCUUUUGAUUCAGCAGCUGUUUAAAUCCACUUGGUGUAGGCUGUUUGAGAAACUACAAAGGGAGGAGCUGGACAAAACCCUAAGAGGAUGUCUUCCAGUCAGUCGUGUCCUGCCCUGGAACUGGUAAAUUCUUGAACCCUAAGUAAGAGGUCUCUUCAGUCAGUUUUGGACACUGAUUUAACUAUUUUUUAUUAAAUAUUGCUAGUUUGGGAGGGACAGUCUUUGCCACUGCAGUUCUCCUGUCUCUGGAAUCCCUCCACCAGUUCUGUGUGACUCCCAGGCAGAGCUGUGGGGAAGGGCUGAGAGGUCACACAUGGCCUUUCUAAGGCUAAGAAAUGUGUGGGCUGAGAGUGAUAAGGUAAUUUACUUACAAAUAGUGAAACGUUUCCUUCAGAAGAUGCACGUGAUGCUAUAACAGGAUGAGGUAGUAGGUUGUGUGGUUUCAGGGUAGUGAUUUUGCCCCAAUCAGGAGAUAACUAUACAACCUACUGCCUUCCCUGAUAGGCAGCAUAACAACAUCAGUGUCUUAAUUCACAGAGAAACAAGAGCUAAAAUACA